GGCUCAGAUUGAACGCUGGCGGCAGGCCUAACACAUGCAAGUCGAACGGUAACAGGAAGCAGCUUGCUGCUUCGCUGACGAGUGGCGGACGGGUGAGUAAUGUCUGGGAAACUGCCUGAUGGAGGGGGAUAACUACUGGAAACGGUGGCUAAUACCGCAUAACGUCGCAAGACCAAAGAGGGGGACCUUCGGGCCUCUUGCCAUCAGAUGUGCCCAGAUGGGAUUAGCUUGUUGGUGAGGUAACGGCUCACCAAGGCGACGAUCCCUAGCUGGUCUGAGAGGAUGACCAGCCACACUGGAACUGAGACACGGUCCAGACUCCUACGGGAGGCAGCAGUGGGGAAUAUUGCACAAUGGGCGCAAGCCUGAUGCAGCCAUGCCGCGUGUACGAAGAAGGCCUUCGGGUUGUAAAGUACUUUCAGGGGGGAGGAAGGUGUUGUGGUUAAUAACCGCAGCAAUUGACGUUACCCGCAGAAGAAGCACCGGCUAACUCCGUGCCAGCAGCCGCGGUAAUACGGAGGGUGCAAACGUUAAUCGGAAUUACUGGGCGUAAAGCGCACGCAGGCGGUCUGUCAAGUCGGAUGUGAAAUCCCCGGGCUCAACCUGGGAACUGCAUUCGAAACUGGCAGGCUUGAGUCUUGUAGAGGGGGGUAGAAUUCCAGGUGUAGCGGUGAAAUGCGUAGAGAUCUGGAGGAAUACCGGUGGCGAAGGCGGCCCCCUGGACAAAGACUGACGCUCAGGUGCGAAAGCGUGGGGAGCAAACAGGAUUAGAUACCCUGGUAGUCCACGCCGUAAACGAUGUCUACUUGGAGGUUGUGCCCUUGAGGCGUGGCUUCCGGAGCUAACGCGUUAAGUAGACCGCCUGGGGAGUACGGCCGCAAGGUUAAAACUCAAAUGAAUUGACGGGGGCCCGCACAAGCGGUGGAGCAUGUGGUUUAAUUCGAUGCAACGCGAAGAACCUUACCUGGUCUUGACAUCCACAGAAGAAUCCAGAGAUGGAUUUGUGCCUUCGGGAACUGUGAGACAGGUGCUGCAUGGCUGUCGUCAGCUCGUGUUGUGAAAUGUUGGGUUAAGUCCCGCAACGAGCGCAACCCUUAUCCUUUGUUGCCAGCGAUUAGGUCGGGAACUCAAAGGAGACUGCCAGUGAUAAACUGGAGGAAGGUGGGGAUGACGUCAAGUCAUCAUGGCCCUUACGACCAGGGCUACACACGUGCUACAAUGGCGCAUACAAAGAGAAGCGACCUCGCGAGAGCAAGCGGACCUCAUAAAGUGCGUCGUAGUCCGGAUUGGAGUCUGCAACUCGACUCCAUGAAGUCGGAAUCGCUAGUAAUCGUGGAUCAGAAUGCCACGGUGAAUACGUUCCCGGGCCUUGUACACACCGCCCGUCACACCAUGGGAGUGGGUUGCAAAAGAAGUAGGUAGCUUAACCUUCGGGAGGGCGCUUACCACUUUGUGAUUCAUGACUGGGGUGAAGUCGUAACAAGGU
rnacentral:rRNA from 1 species